UACAGAGGGUGCGAGCGUUGUUCGGAAUUAUUGGGCGUAAAGGGCGCGUAGGCGGCGCCACAAGUCACCUGUGAAAACUCUGGGCUCAACCCAGAGCCUGCAGGCGAAACUGUGGUGCUGGAGUAUGGGAGAGGUGCGUGGAAUUCCCGGUGUAGCGGUGAAAUGCGCAGAUAUCAGGAGGAACACCGGUGGCGAAGGCGGGUCUCUGGGCCGAUACUGACGCUGAGGAGCGAAAGCGUGGGGAGCGAACAGG
rnacentral:rRNA from 1 species